rnacentral:lncRNA from 1 species
UGGUCCUCCCCAGACCACACCAGGAACAGCCAGCUUGGCCUGUCCAUCAUGGUGAGCCGUACCUCAGCAGUUGGAACACCUCUCCUCAGUCGGCCUCCCCUGCUUCUCACCCUCUCCACCCUGCCCCUAGUAGCUCACCUUGGCUCAGGGAGCUGGAGCCUGAACCAUGGCUCUUAAAGUCGGCGGCGUUCUGAGGAACACAGUCAGGAUGUUGUCCGGCUCCAAAGUGGCGCUGGUGCUGAGUGAGGAAGGGCUCCCUUGAUAUGGUGUGGACUCCUUAGCUUUGAAUAUAUUGCCACUGGAGACUCAGUUUGUGUUUUGGGGGAGAAAUGUAGCUAGGCAGUUGUUAGCUUCUCAAUUACAGAAGCUGUUAAUUCACGUGGUGUGUCAUCUUGUAUAACCAGUAUUUUCUCAUGUAGGAAAAUCUCUUCACACUAUUUGCAUGUGAAAAAUAACAUUGAAAUAUGUAGCAAAACCCAGAAGACGACCAUCAUGAGUGCAAUGUAAUUUCAACAAAAAGCAAUUUAUAAGCCAGGUGCAGGUCACACACCUGUAAUCCCCACUAUUCAGAAGACUGAGCCAAGAGAAUCACAAGUCCAGGCCAGCCUGGGCAAUUUUUAUUUUUUUAAUAAAUAUUUUUUACCUGUCAAUGGACCUUUAUUUUAUUUAUUUAUAUGCAGUGCUGAGAAUCGAACCCAGUGUCACACAUGCUAGACUGGUGCUAUACCACUGAG